UUGAUGCAAACAGCAAGAGGCUUUAUUGUACUUGUUGAACAAGCUAACUCCAUGUUAGCUCAGGUCUUUCACCCACCCACCAUAGUGGAUGGCUAGGAAAGACAAUGCAAAGCCACUGCAUAGAGAUCUUAUGGGGUAGCGUAAGGGGAGUGUCUAGGGGUACACACAGGCUCAGGAUUGGUGUGCCUCCAGGCUUGGAGGGCUUGCCCUGUGUUGAUUGGUUAACCAGUUGUUAUGGCCCAUAGGCCCUCCCAGGGAGAUUGCUGUGCUCUGAGUGUCAUUGCUGUGCACUUGUCGGUAAAAUACAUCCAGAGCCGGAAAGCAUAGCGCCACCAGCUAACUUCUGAUUGGUUCCUUGCCACGAGGCAUCUGACCUCCAAGUGACCAAGGUAAGGUCAGGCAAGCAUGUGUUUGGCUGUUAUGGCUGCCGAAAUGGGGAGCUGGUCCCUUCACCAGCUCUUAUGACUGUUUAUAGCAGUGACUCCAGUUCCAGAGGAUCUAACACCCUCUUCUUGGCUUUGUGAGACCAGGCACAGAGGUACGUGCACGCACGCAUGAACACACACACAUACACACCUGGUCUACAAUGGGAGGCAUGGUGAAAGCCUGAGGAGACUGCUGGCUGCCCUAACUCGAACUCUGAUCUCCAUCCUGGUGCUGAAAGGUCAAACCAGAGCCAUCCAAGAGAAAAGGGGCCCAAAACAGCACUCUGUGAGAACCUGACCCCAUGACCUGUGCAAAAGGCUUAUACCACCACCACCCCUGGAAAAUCUGACGGGCAGGAAGGGGAGAUAACUACAAACAGUCCCACUAGUAGGGAAGGGGAGACAGAUGGCCCUGACUCCAUGGCAACCAACCUGAAAAGUUGAGAAACAACUUUUAUGGGCACAAAUGGUACAAGAGAUAAAACCCCUGGAAAGCCCCCAGUCUGCCUGGACUCUGCAGUCAGUCAGCUUCGAACCUGUACCCCUAACCCUAUUCUGUGAUCUUUGCCUUUAUAAAGCCCUCUGCUUAUCAGGCUCGAGACGUCCUCCUUCGACUGCUGCGCCAGUCUGCGGGACGAGGUCCCUGCCUAGGCUUGAAUUCCAAUCAAGAAACGUUGUGCGUUCCUUCGGCAAGUCGGCAAGUGGUGGUCUCCCUAGGGGUCUCGUGGGCCUCCCCGUACUCAGACUACCAGUAGCAUCUCAGCCUUGGACCUCGGGUUACCUUUUCAAAGUUCGGUCCCUGGUGAGCUACUUCCUCCAGCUAGACCCCACCUACUGAAGACUCCACUCCCGUCCCACUAGCGCCACCGUGAGAGAGCACUCACGCAAAACGGCCUGUGGAAGGAACCCCGCUGCCCCGCCUCCCCUCCACGGGACUACCCUCCCUGCGGAGACCCCUGCCCCCUGCCACAGCAGCUCGCCUCCUCUCUGGCUCCCCAGAACCACCUGGGCCUUCAGCCUCCCUCCCGCCCCCGCUCCGCCUGCAGCUUUCACUUGCAGGGCUCUGAGGCCUUCCCACACCAUGCCACACCCUCCUGAGGCUGUUCCCAACCCUCCUCAGGGCACAGGAGCCGCAGAGCACCCUUUGGCCCCGCCUUCAGGCCCGCGUGGAGCCUACAACGAACUGUGGCUUGGGGACUCGUCCUAGGCUCGGCCGGGAAGACGUGACUUUUCCUCAUGGUGAUUAUGGAAGGGACCAGCUCCCCAUUUCGGCAGCCAUAACAGCUGAACACGUGCCUUUCUGACUUUGCCUUGGUCACUAGAGGUUAGGUGCCUGCCUUGUUAGGUUAGGAACCAUCAGAAGUUAGCUGGUGGCGGUAUGCUUUAUGGCUCUGGGUGUGCUUUACGGACAAGUGCACAGCAAUGAUGCACAGAGCAUAGCAACCACCCUGGGAGGGCCUAUGGGCCAUAACAACCAGUUGGCCAAUCAACACAGGGCAAAACUUCCAAGCCUAGAGGCACACCAGUCCUGAGCCUGUGUGUACCCCUGGACACUCCCCUUACGCUGCCCUACAAGAUCUGUAUGCAGACGCUUCGAACUGUGUUUGCUAGCCAUCCACCAUGGCGGGUGGGUGAAAGACUGGAGC
ensembl:lncRNA